rnacentral:rRNA from 1 species
GAUGAACGCUGGCGGCGUGCUUAAUACAUGCAAGUCGAACGGUGAAGCGCCUUCCUUUUUGGUGGGUGUGGAUGAGUGGCGAACGGGUGAGUACCACGUUAGUCACCUGAUCCCUCUUGCUUGAUAACCGCAUGACAGUGUGGCUAAUACAGAACAUUUUGGGUCUGUUGCAUCAUGGGUCUGGGACAGGUUUUGUUUCGGUGGGGGAUGGGCUCGCGGCCUAUUAGCUUGUUGGUGGGGUGAUGGCCUACCAAGGCGGUGACGGGUAGCCGGCCUGAGAGGGUAGACGGUCACACUGGGACUGAAACGCGGCCAAGACUCCUACGGGAGGCAGCAGUGGAGAAUAUUGCACAAUGGGCGGAAGCAUGAAGCAGCGACGCCGGGUUAAAGAUGGAGUCCUUCGGGUAAUAAACCUCUUUCGCCAGUGAAGCAGGCCUGCCGCGUUUGUGGGUGGGUUGACGGUAGCUGGAUAAGAAGCGACGGCUAACUACGUG